rnacentral:lncRNA from 1 species
CUCCCAUCCAAAUGUAAGGAAACUUUGCGACACUCCCUGUGUCUCCUCCCCCCAUGCCCGUGCCUUGGCUCACUGUGAUAACAUUGUCUGUCAGGUAACUUAUCUUCCUCUCAUCUACCCUUUCGCCUGCCUCUGCCCUGCUGCCAUCCCCCACCCCAACCCCAUCCCACCCCGCGCCCCCUUCCCCUGUCUCAGAGUAGGCGGUCACCAGACAACUUUGAAGAUCAGCAUUAGGGCAGCCCAGUGGGGCAGGGUAUGGUGUAUUGAUUCUCUGACAAGGCUGAGUUACAGGUACUAGAGUCUUCUAGAAUGGCGUCACCUGUGCUGGGGGAUUGAUUUCCUGAUGGUUACUGAAGCAAAUGGACAUUGCCUCUUGGGAUAGACAGAGAAACCUGCCACGAGGUACUUUCUGACACCCCUAACAGUUAGCAGACUUACACGUGCUCCUCAGGGCCGAGGCAAGCACAGGAAUUUCUAGAAUCAUUAGUCUAGGGGUCCGUGUGUAGGAAGGGGGGUGUCUUGGUUUGUUUUUCCUUCUGAGACAAACGCUCACUGUGUGACUAACAUUGAAUGUGCAGGGCGUCGCCCUACUUCCACCUCCCAGUUCUUCAAAAUGGAAGCUUGAGCCGCCACCAUGACUGGCUUGCUAUGUAGCCUAUGAUGGGUUUGAACUC